AAUAGAUACCCCGGUAGUCCAUGCCGUAAACGUUGGGCACUAGGUGUGGGGCUCAUUCCACGAGUUCCGUGCCGCAGCAAACGCAUUAAGUGCCCCGCCUGGGGAGUACGGCCGCAAGGCUAAAACUCAAAGAAAUUGACGGGGGCCCGCACAAGCGGCGGAGCAUGCGGAUUAAUUCGAUGCAACGCGAAGAACCUUACCAAGGCUUGACAUACACCGGAAAAGUGCAGAGAUGUGCUCCCCGUAAGGUCGGUGUACAGGUGGUGCAUGGUUGUCGUCAGCUCGUGUCGUGAGAUGUUGGGUUAAGUCCCGCAACGAGCGCAACCCUCGUCCCAUGUUGCCAGCGGGUUAUGCCGGGGACUCAUGGGAGACUGCCGGGGUCAACUCGGAGGAAGGUGGGGAUGACGUCAAAUCAUCAUGCCCCCUUAUGUCUUGGGCUUCACGCAUGCUACAAUGGCCGGUACAAAGGGCUGCGAUACCGCAAGGUGGAGCGAAUCCCAAAAAGCCGGUCUCAGUUCGGAUUGGGGUCUGCAACUCGACCCC
rnacentral:rRNA from 1 species